rnacentral:rRNA from 1 species
UACGUAGGGUGCAAGCGUUGUCCGGAAUUAUUGGGCGUAAAGAGCUCGUAGGCGGUUCGUCGCGUCGGCUGUGAAAUCCCGAGGCUCAACCUCGGGUCUGCAGUCGAUACGGGCGGACUGGAGUUCGGCAGGGGAGACUGGAAUUCCUGGUGUAGCGGUGAAAUGCGCAGAUAUCAGGAGGAACACCGAUGGCGAAGGCGGGUCUCUGGGCCGAUACUGACGCUGAGGAGCGAAAGCGUGGGGAGCGAACAGG